rnacentral:lncRNA from 10 species
CUAUGCCUGUUGGUCUCAAACUUGGUUAUCAAUUGGAAUCACAUGAGCAGCCUUGAAAAUUCCAAAUACCCAGACUACACCCAAGAGUAGUUAAAUCAGAAGCUUUGGUGUCAACAUAGUAAUCAGGAACUUUGUAAUGAUCCCAUUCCGGUGUGCAGCCGAAAUUGAGAAGCUCCAGUUUAAGGUCAUGGGCCAUGAAGCUUUCAAGUUCUGCCACCUCCUCUCAACAUUAAUGUGUAUCAGCUUUGGGAAACUACAUGUAGAAGGUAUGAAGAAUGGCAGAAAGUAUAUAAAGGGACAAAUCACCACCAUUAAUUCCACAAAUCAGUACAGGAUCAAACCACCAUGAAAAGAAACCCAAGCUAGCCACAUGGGGAAGAAAAGAGGAAAAGAUCACUCCCUCUCAACCUUCCCCACUGGGGAACUAGACAUGUGAACAAAGCCAUCUGAUUACAACCUCACAGGAGACCCCAACUGAAACCAACCAAAGAACAGCCCAGCAGAGCCCCAGCCAACCAAAGAAUCAUGAACAAAUAAAGUGGUUACUGUUUUAAGCAGAUAUGUUUUGGGUUGGUUUGUUACACAGCAAGAGAUAAGCAAAAUGUGACAGCAUCUAAUAUGAAUACCUGCUUUAGAUAUGAAAAAGAAACCCUUAGAUAUGAAAAAGAAACCCUUAGGAUCAUAAACUCAAGAAGAAUUUUUUGUUUUUAUCUAGUCAGAUUGCUGAGGUCCUGGCUGUUUAGAUGACUUACAGAAAGAACUUGGGUAGUAGAGUCAAGAUAUGAAUAGUAACCCAGUUUUAUUACUAGAGAUUUGACUUCGUUGAGCAUCAGCUUUCUUGUGGGCGAGUUAGGUUUUAACAAUAGCUGCCUUGCAGGUGUUUUAUUUUUAAGCAUUAUGAAUGAUGGUGCCUCCAGUUCCAUAACAAGAUGAAGGCAUAUGCAGAUGUGAGUUAACAUUUUCAUUGGCUGGCCAUGUAUGUUGAAUCCCAAACAAGUGGUCUUCACUACACCUCACCACUCACAAAUCUACUUAUGAGUCUCAGAUGGUGAGCUAGAUGGUCAGUAAUACCCACCUCAGGAAAACUGCUUCUGAGUUUACAAGACAGCAGGCGGAACAGCUCAAAGACCAAUGCAUGCAUAAAUAGUCUUUCCUUUUUUUCACCAGGUCAACUACUCGAUUAUUUGCACUGGGGGCCUUUUUUCAAAGCAUCUGACCUUUUGGACUCGUCUGGUGAAAUCUAGUAUGUACUUAGGACCAGCCUUCAACACAAAGGAAGGUUUUUGUUACAUUCGUUUGCAUAUCCUGUCAAGGAUAUCUUCAGAACACUUUCAUUUCACAGUAAAAUGAAACUUACGGAAGAACUAAGCAGUGAAGUGCUUCAUACUUUCAUUUAAAAGGGGAAUGAGAAACAAAAGACAAGGUUAAUUAUGACACCGGGGCUUUACAAUGCUAAAAAUAUCCUAUAUACAAAGGGAUAUGUAGGCUGUGUUCUUUUUCCAUGUCAUUACAAAGAACAGGCUCAAGGUAUCUGCAAAUUUCUAAUAAAAAUAUUAUUACUUGAAAAAUGUCCAUGGUUGUAUCUAACUGAAGGGAUUAAAACUUUUAGACUUGUUAUACAAAUACCAUGAUACUUGUCAUCAAAGUCCUCCUUUUCAUCAAGCAGACCCUGACUUACAGCAUCUGAGAGUGGAAAAAACUAGCAUGAACCGUAAGGCAGUGGGAUUCAUACCUACCUCUCACUCACACGUUCAUCCAAACCAAGCAAGUUGCAUAAAGCAACCUGAGACUUUAUACUUCCACAUGCUGGCAACACAGCAUUAACUAGACUCGGGCAACUUGUUUAAGGGGUUUAUUUAGGUUCCUAUCAGUAAAGAGGUGUUUUUCCAGCUUUGGGAGAAUAUGUAUGAUGCCAAGUUUUUUUUUUUUUAAGUUUAAAUACUUUUAUAAGUUUAAUGUUGGCAUUGGAUGUUUACAUAUUAACUGGUACAAUUUACAUCGGUUUUAUACUUACCUAUUUUUGCAAAGAUGUCAUGUACACAAAGAUACAUAUUCAAUAACUGAGAAACAAGUGAAACUUCUGAUCUAUACUUUCAGGUUUGUUUCAUAAAGAUAUUUCUGAUAAG